rnacentral:rRNA from 1 species
UGGGGAAUAUUGCACAAUGGGCGCAAGCCUGAUGCAGCCAUGCCGCGUGUAUGAAGAAGGCCUUCGGGUUGUAAAGUACUUUCAGCGGGGAGGAAGGGAGUAAAGUUAAUACCUUUGCUCAUUGACGUUACCCGCAGAAGAAGCACCGGCUAACUCCGUGCCAGCAGCCGCGGUAAUACGGAGGGUGCAAGCGUUAAUCGGAAUUACUUGGCGUAAAGCGCACGCAGGCGGUUUGUUAAGUCAGAUGUGAAAUCCCCGGGCUCAACCUGGGAACUGCAUCUGAUACUGGCAAGCUUGAGUCUCGUAGAGGGGGGUAGAAUUCCAGGUGUAGCGGUGAAAUGCGUAGAGAUCUGGGGGAAUACCGGUGGCGAAGGCGGCCCCCUGGACGAAGACUGACGCUCAGGUGCGAAAGCGUGGGGAGCAAACAGG